rnacentral:rRNA from 1 species
AGUGCGCGGCUUACCAUGCAGUCGACGAUGACGCCCUUCAGGGUGGAUUAUUGGCGAACGGGUGAGUAACACGUGGGCAAUCUGCCCUUCCCUCUGGGACAAGCCCUGGAAACGGGGUCUAAUACCGGAUAUAACUUCCGUCGGCUUCGGGUGAACUGGAAAGCUCCGGCGGUGAAGGAUGAGCCCGCGACCUAUCAUCUUGUUGGUGGGGUAAUGGCCUACCAAGGCGACAACGGGUAGACGGCCUGAUAGGGCGACCGGACACUCUGGGACUGAGACACUGACCAAACUCCUACAGGAGGCAGCAAUGGGGAAUAUUGCACAAUGGGAGAAAGCCUGAUGCCCCGACCCCGCGUGAGGGAUGACGGCCUUCAGGUUGUAAACCUCUUUCACCAUGUAAUAAGCAAGAAUGACGGUACCUGCAAAACAAGCGCCGGCUAACUACGUGCCAGCAGCCGCGGUAAUACAUAGGGCGCAAGCGUUGUCCGGAAUUAUUGGGGGUAAAGAGCUCGUAGGCAGCUUGUCACGUCGGGUGUGAAAGCCCGGGGCUUAACCCCGGGUCUGCAUCCGAUACGGGCAGGCUAGAGUGUGGUAGGGGAGAUCGGAAUUCCUGGUGUAGCGGUAAAAUGCGCAGAUAUCAGGAGGAACACCGGUGGCGAAGGCGGAUCUCUGGGCCAUUACUGACGCUGAGGAGCGAAAGCGUGGGGAGCGAACAGGAUUAGAUACCCUGGUAGUCCACGCCGUAAACGUUGGGAACUAGGUGUUGGCGACAUUCCACGUCGUCGGUGCCGCAGCUAACGCAUUAAGUUCCCCGCCUGGGGAGUACGGCCGCAAGGCUAAAACUCAAAGGAAUUGACGGGGGCCCGCACAAGCAGCGGAGCAUGUGGCUUAAUUCGACGCAACGCGAAGAACCUUACCAAGGCUUGACAUAUACCGGAAAGCAUUAGAGAUAGUGCCCCCCUUGUGGUCGGUAUACAGGUGGUGCAUGGCUGUCGUCAGCUCGUGUCGUGAGAUGUUGGGUUAAGUCCCGCAACGAGCGCAACCCUUGUCCUGUGUUGCCAGCAUGCCCUUCGGGGUGAUGGGGACUCACAGGAGGCCGCCGGGGUCAACUAGGAGGAAGGAGGGGAGGACGUCAAGUCAUCAUCCCCGCCAUGUCUUGCAGGGCACACCUGCUACAAUGGCCGGUACAAAGAGGGGCGACGCCCCGAGGAGGACAAAAUCUCAAAAAGCCGGUCUCAGUUCUGAUUGGGGUCUGCAACUCGACCCCAUGAAGUCGGAGUUGCUAGUAAUCGCAGAUCAGCAUUGCUGCGGUGAAUACGUUCCCGGGCCUCUACACACCGCCCGUCACGUCACGAAAGUCGGUAACACCCGAAGCCGCGGCCCAACCACUUCGGGAGGAGC